rnacentral:rRNA from 1 species
GGCCAGACUCCUACGGGAGGCAGCAGUGGGGAAUAUUGCACAAUGGGGGAAACCCUGAUGCAGCGACGCCGCGUGAGUGAAGAAGUAUUUCGGUAUGUAGAGCUCUAUCAGCAGGGAAGAAGUUGACGGUACCUGAGUAAGAAGCCCCGGCUAACUACGUGCCAGCAGCCGCGGUAAUACGUAGGGGGCAAGCGUUAUCCGGAUUUACUGGGUGUAAAGGGAGCGUAGACGGCAGUGCAAGUCUGAAGUGAAAGCCCCGGGCUUAACCCGGGAAUUGCUUUGGAAACUGUACGGCUGGAGUGCUGGAGAGGUAAGCGGAAUUCCUAGUGUAGCGGUGAAAUGCGUAGAUAUUAGGAGGAACACCAGUGGCGAAGGCGGCUUACUGGACAGUAACUGACGUUGAGGCUCGAAAGCGUGGGGAGCAAACAGGAUUAGAUACCCUCGUA